CCUACGGGAGGCAGCAGUAGGGAAUAUUGCUCAAUGGGGGAAACCCUGAAGCAGCAACGCCGCGUGGGGGAUGAUGGUUUUAGGAUUGUUAACUCCUUUUGUUAGAGGAGCUAAUGACGGUAUCUAACGAAUAAGCACCGGCUAACUACGUGCCAGCAGCCGCUGGCAUCCGGAGGGCGCCAGCGUUACUCGGAAUCAAUGGGGGGAAAGAGCGCGUAGGCGGGAUAGUAAGUCCGAUGUGAAAUCCUAUGGCUUAACCACAGAACUGCAAUUGAAACUGUUGCUCUUGAGUUGGAGAGAGGUAGGCGGAAUUCGUGGUGUAGGGGUAAAAUCCGUAGAGAUCAAGAGGAAUCCUCAUUGCGAAGGCGACAUGCUGG
rnacentral:rRNA from 1 species